UACGUAGGGCGCAAGCGUUGUCCGGAAUUAUUGGGCGUAAAGAGCUCGUAGGCGGUUUGUCGCGUCUGCUGUGAAAACUCGAGGCUCAACCUCGGGCUUGCAGUGGGUACGGGCAGACUAGAGUGCGGUAGGGGAGACUGGAAUUCCUGGUGUAGUGGUGAAAUGCGCAGAUAUCAGGAAGAACACCCGUGGCGAAGGCGGUUCUCUGGGACGGUACUGACGCUGAGACGCGAAAGCGUGGGGAGCGAACAGG
rnacentral:rRNA from 1 species